UGGGGAAUUUUGCACAAUGGAGGGAACUCUGAUGCAGCGACGCCGCGUGAUCGAAGAAGGCCUUCGAAUCGUAAAGUUCUUUUAUAUGGGAAGAUAAUGACGGUACCAUAAGAAAAAGCCCCGGCUAACUACGUGCCAGCAGCCGCGGUAAUACGUAGGGGGCUAGCGUUGUCCGGAUUCACUGGGCGUAAAGGGUUCGCAGGCGGAAAUGCAAGUCAGGUGUAAAAGGCAGUAGCUUAACUACUGUAAGCAUUUGAAACUGCAUAUCUUGAGAAGAGUAGAGGUAAGUGGAAUUUUUAGUGUAGCGGUGAAAUGCGUAGAUAUUAAAAAGAAUACCGGUGGCGAAGGCGACUUACUGGGCUCAUUCUGACGCUGAGGAACGAAAGCGUGGGUAGCAAACAGG
rnacentral:rRNA from 1 species